rnacentral:rRNA from 1 species
UACGUAGGGUGCAAGCGUUGUCCGGAAUUAUUGGGCGUAAAGAGCUCGUAGGCGGCUUGUCGCGUCGACUGUGAAAACCUGCAGCUUAACUGUGGGCGUGCGGUCGAUACGGGCAUCACUGGAGUUCGGCAGGGGAGACUGGAAUUCCUGGUGUAGCGGUGAAAUGCGCAGAUAUCAGGAGGAACACCGGUGGCGAAGGCGGGUCUCUGGGCCGAUACUGACGCUGAGGAGCGAAAGCGUGGGUAGCAAACAGG